AGACCAGGCCCGCGUCCCCAGCAGCGCGGAUCCCGGGGCCAGCCGCCCAGGCAGCAAAGUCAGGCGGUCGGCUUCGCCAGCAGCCGAUGAGUCUCAUCCUGUGGAUUGCCCAGCGCCAGGGAUCAGGAUCCGGAGAGGUGUCCAGGAGGAGCAGACCCUCAGACCAGAAUUCGACACCAAAUUUUGGAACUUAAAAAGAAGAUUCUUAAAACUUACAAUCCAGCCCAGGGCUUCCCAGCUGUCUUCAUCCAGGCCUGCGCCGGUGUUCACAGUGGUCCUCAUCUAAGCCAGCCAAGAAGAUCUCUGUCAUCCACGUGACAGCCAGCCCAGAUGUCCCUAGCCGUCCUCAUCAAGGCCAGCCAGUUUGCUUACACGUGUGCUAAUUGGAGCCAGCCACCCUCAUAGAGGCCAUCCCAGGGGCUGGGCACAGUGGCUCACGCCUGUAAUACCAACACUUUUGGAGGCCGAGGCAGGUGGAUCACUUGGUCAAGAGAUCGACACCAUCCUGGAUAACACGAUUACGAUGAGGACCUGGUGCAGGAAGCUUCAUCUGAAGAUGUCCUGGGCGUUCAUAUGGUGGACAAAGACACAGAGAGAGACAUUGAGAUGAAACGGCAACUACGGCGACUACGGGAGCUCCACCUAUACAGCACAUGGAAGAAGUACCAAGAGGCGAUGAAGACAUCCUUGGGAGUUCCACAAUGUGAGCGUGACGAAGGCUCCUUGGGCAAGCCAUUGUGUCCACCCGAGAUACUCUCGGAGACGUUGCCAGGCUCUGUGAAGAAAAGGGUAUGCUUUCCAUCAGAAGAUCAUCUAGAGGAGUUUAUAGCAGAACAUCUCCCUGAAGCAUCCAAUCAGAGUCUCCUCACUGUUGCCCAUGCAGACACAGGCAUCCAAACCAACGGUGACCUGGAAGACCUGGAGGAGCAUGUGCCAGGGCAGACAGUCUCUGAGGAAGCCACAGGGGUUCACAUGAUGCAGGUGGACCCAGCCACGCCGGCAAAGAGUGACCUGGAAGACCUGGAGGAGCAUGUGCCAGGGCAGACAGUCUCUGAGGAAGCCACAGGGGUUCACAUGAUGCAGGUGGACCCAGCCACACUGGCAAAGCAAUUGGAAGACUCCACCAUUACAGGCAGCCACCAGCAGAUGUCAGCAAGUCCUUCCUCUGCACCUGCAGAAGAAGCAACAGAAAAGACCAAAGUGGAAGAGGAAGUGAAAACCAGAAAGCCCAAGAAGAAAACCAGGAAGCCCAGCAAGAAAAGCCGGUGGAAUGUCCUGAAAUGUUGGGACAUUUUUAAUAUAUUUUAGAGACCUCUGAAGAUUCCUCGACCACCAGGAAGGGCCCCGACGUGGGGAUGUCAACAUGGCUCAGACUUGAUGUGGAUCGUGAUCAUUUCGGGAAAUGUGUUACUCCAAAAACUUUUAUAAUCUUUGCUUAAUUUGUUUUUAAAUACUUUCCUGGCUGGGCGUGGUGGCUUAUGCCUGUAAUCCCAGCACUUUGGGAGGCCGAGGCGGGUGGAUCACCUGAGGUCAGGAGUUAAAGACCAGCCUGGCCAACAAGGUGAAACCCCGUCUCUACUAAAAAUACAAAAAUUAGCUAGGCGUGGUGGCGCACUCUUGUAGUCCCAGCUAUUUGGGAGGCUGAGGCAGGAGAAUCACUUGACCUCAGGAGGCGGAGGUUGCAGUGAGCCGAGAUCAUGCCACUGCACCCCAGCACCUGGCUACAGAGUGAGACUUUGUCUCAAAAAAAAAAAAAAAAGAACAAAAAAAUUCUGACUUUAACCUCUGUUUUUCAGAGGGCACAAAUUGUUCUUGUAUUGUUUCCAUUUUACAUUUUUUUCUUGAAGUUAUUUUCCAAUUGUUUUCAUUCUUUCUGAAGUUUUGUUUACUCGGUUUUAAGUUUUUGUAAUUUUGAUAGACUUUUGUGCUUUCAUUUUCUUAAUGACUUUUACCUCAUUUUUAAAACAAAUCCAUAGUAUGGAUGAUAUUGAUGAUGAAAUGUCUUACGAUGAUCAUUUAGAGGUUUAUUUUGAACAACUGGCAAUUCCAGGAAUGAUGGAAUAAAGCAUACGAAGUAGAAGGACUGGAACCUCCAGAAAAAGUACUUUAAGUUACCUACAGGUGAUCCUAGUCAGGCAAAUGAAAACAGUAGCCUAAAGUGUCAGUUUCAACCAGAAAAUAACAGCUCUGAUUUCUCAUGGCUCAUACUCGUCUGAAACGACUCAGGUAGAGGCUGAGGAAGGCCGUGUUGUUUGUCUACCUGGGACUACACCUACUGAAAGAAGUUCUCAAGUUCUGAUUGAGUUCUAAAAUUUUUUGAAGAUUGGAAUUCUUCAUAUGUAAAAAGAGAAGAGAAAGACAUUCUUGAUUUUGGUGACUAGAGUUGUAGAUGCUGGAAGCUUUGCCACUAACAUUGAUGAACCAGAUGCAUGUCACCAGCCCAUCACGGUGAUUCUUAAUGCCGGCACCAUGGGCCCGGCACUGCCACGUUUUCCAAGGAACCUGCCGGAGCUCCUGCGGAAGCUGCUCCUCAGGCGAUGGAGUCCCUUCGCUGGUAGGCCCUUCUUCAGUCACCACAGGAUGCCUGCCAUUCAUGAACAAGAAGGAGAGGACGGGCUUUGAAUAAAAAACAGGAUCCAGGAAAUAUUUGUGAGGCCAUUUGGACUUCAGUGUGAAAUGGUGUUAAAAGAUGAAGUCAUUUAUUCAAGAAGUAAACCUCUGCCACCUGGACUGUGCGCAGACAUUUCAUUGAUUUUGUUUAAUAAACAUUUUCUGGCUUUGGGAGGUGUCUCUCUUGGUAGAACACAGUGUCAAAGAUGGACAAGAUGGACACAUAGUCCAUUAUUUGGUAUUGUUUGUGUAUGGGAGCAGACCACAAAUUAAUGUUUGGAGAACAAUUUUGUCAUAACACACUGUUGAGGCUCAGUUGUACAGAACUGGAAAAGUCUUCAGCUUGGCACAUGUCCUGAUUCAGCCUUUGUUUAACAUAUAUUCCAAUCCGGAUUCUAUCUUCACUGGCUACAAAGACCACCUGAUACGUGCACCACGACACAGGAGCUGCUGGAGAGGGGGUAGUGUUAUCACCUCAAACCCACAGCCAUAUUUUUCAAAAGCCAGCUUAGAGAGAGGUGUACUGAUAGCUGCAUAGAGAACAUGCAGUCCAUCCAUUCUUCCCAGUGAUGUACAUUUCUCAAUCAGUAACCACGUGGUAUACCAGCCUUGAGUGUCACAUCUCCCAACCAUACCAAAUGGAUCACCUAACUGGAGGUGGGGGGGGCCCUCAGAAAUGAGAUUUCGUAUUUACUGUAAAAUUGCCUUAUUUUUUCUUUUGAGGUGGAGUCUCACUCUGUUGCCUGGGCUGGAGUGCAAUGGUGUGAUCACUGCUCACUGCAACCUCCGCCUCCUGGGUUCAAGCAGUUCUCCUGCCUCAGCCUCCCAAGUAGCUGCAAUUACAGGUGCAUGCCACCACUCCCAGCAAAUUUUUAUAUUUUUAGUGGAGACAGGGUUUCACCAUGUUGACCAGGCUGGUCUCAAACUCCUGACCUCAGGUGAUCUGCCCACCUUGGCCUCCCAAAGUUCUGGGAUUAAAGGUACGAGCCACCGCAACUGGCUGAGAAUCUUUUUAUUUGCUGAUUUGUCUCUUGUGUAUUUUCUUUGUUCAGAUGUCUCUUCAGAUCUUUUUCUCACUUUUAAAUUGUUUUUUAAUUGUUAAGAAUUUUCUGUCUAGUUUAGAUAUAAGCCCUUUAUCAGACAUGUGUUUUGCAAAUAUUUUCUCCUAGUCUGUGGCUUGUAUUCUGUCUCUUAACACUCAUUUUAUUUUUACUUUUGGAACUAAAGAAGAAGAAUGGUCAGCUUUCCAUUAUUCUUGUAACAGUAAUGGCAGAACCAAGUCUGCUAAUGCUACACUGAGCAAAGAAAGUCACCUGGUGAAGUCCAACAUUAAUGAAAUGGGGUAGUACAUGCAGGCAGCGUUGGGGGUGGGGAGGGAACAAAUGCUUCUUGAGAGUAAUAUAAUCUGCCAUACCAUCCAGGAACCUACAAUGGCUAUCUAUUACCUUAUUCUCUGGUUUGUUUAAUGUUCGAAUCUUUCCGAAAGAUCCUUCAACCUUUCUGGAAGAAUCUAAUCUGAUAACACCAUCAAAAACACAUUACUUCUUUUGGCAUAAUUUAAAUUGUAAGACAUCAUUCACAUUUAUCAAUGUUACAUAUAUAAGAACUCACCCACCAUAUUCUUCCUUGAGGAAUUACAGCAUGUAAUUCUAUAAUCAUUUUUAUAAUCGUCUAACAAUUUUAUAAUGGAUUGGUUGCUUACUAUCAAUUUUUUAAAAGUCAUGGCUUCUCCAGUCAUUUCUUGCUUAUCGAAAUUAUUUCAUGAGAUGGGUCUCUCCUUGUAUAUUUGAAAAUGAGGUUUGCUUCCUUCUACUUAAAAAACAACUUGAACAUACCUGUUUGGAUCACAUGGUCUUGUCCUGAUAACUUGGAAGAGGUUGCUUCAGCAUUGUUCUUAUUGUUGUGGUGGUUAUUAUUAAUAUUGUUUCAUAUUCUGUUUAAAAAAUUAAAAUUUUACACAAGACCAAUGUCUUCUUUUCAAUUCCAGUACAUUUUUCAGAAGUAACUAAUGCUAUUGGCUUUGUGCAUUGUAAUUUCAGACCAUUUUAUAUGUCUUUAGUUAUAUGUACAGUAUACACACAUAUGUGUCAUAUUAUUCCAUUUUUUCUAGCAUUAAACAUUGCUAUGGAAAACUCUCGGAAAAAUAUUUAUUUGAACAGAACUUUUUCUUUUCUCAGAUGUACCCUCCUUAGGAAUCUUUCUUUGAUCCUUGAAGUUUGGUAACAACUUUAAAUAUGUGUAUCCCAGCUGGGAGCAGCGGCUCACACCUGUAAUUUCAGCACUUUGGGAGGCCGAGGAGGGUGGAUCACCUGAGGUCAGGAGUUUGCCUGGCCAACAUGGUGAAACCCCGUCUUUACUGAAAAUACAAAAAGUUAGCCAGGUGUGGUGGCUGGCACCUGUAAUCCCAGCUACAUGGGAGGCUGAGGCAGGAGAAUCGCUUGAACCUAUAGAGACAAGGUUUCACCAUGUUGACCAGGCUGGUCUCGAACUCCUGACCUCAGGUGAUCCACCCACCUCAGCCUCCCAAAAUGCUGGGAUUACAGGCAUGAGCCAUUGCACCCAGCCAUACAGGAGCAAGUUUAAAAAUUAAAUAUUUAUUUGAAUAACAAGCUUACAUUGGAGCUGCAAUGUUGGCAAUCCAGAUUUUGAACACGGAUCACAAAAAGCAUGCAUAAAAUCCUACUGGCCCAGAGAACAAAACACUGCUCAGAAUUAAGCGAAAUAGCUGCUACUGUUAAGAAAACAGGCCUGAAAUCAAUAUACAAGAUUUUAAAAAAUGUAUUGGCCGGAUGCAGUGGCUCAUUCCUGUAAUUCCAGAACUUUGGGAGGCCAAGACAGGAGAAUCACCUGAGGUCAGGAGUUCAAGACCAGCCUGGCCAACAUGGUGAAACUCCAUCUCUACUAAAAAUAAAAAAUUAGCUGGGUGUGGUGACACAUGCCUGUAGUCCCAGCUACCUGGGAGGCUGAGGCAGAAUAAUUUCUCGAACCCAGGAGGAGGAGGUUUGCAAUGGCAUGAUCUCUGCUCACCGCAACCUCCGCCUCCCGGGUUCAAGCAAUUCUCCUACUUCAGCCUCCCGAGUAGCUGGGAUUACAGGCAUGUGCCACCAUGCCUGGCUACUUUUCUGUAUUUUUAGUAGAGACAGAGUUUCUCCAUGUUGGUCAGGCUGGUCUUGAACUCACAACCUCCGGUGAUCUGCCUGCCUCGGCCUCCCAUAGUGCUGGGAUUACAGGCAUGAGCCACCAUGCCUGCCCAUGAAAGCACUUUUAAAAAGAGAGCACCUCUGCUGCCUGGUCAUAUUCUGUACCUGUUCCCAAACCCUGAAACCAGUGAUGUCAAUGGCUGCGUGGGCAUUGAACGUGUACAUGAUUCCUGCAGCUUUCCUGUUGACCUGGACCAUGUUCAUCAAUGCUUUUUGGUACAUUAAUUCUACAUCUUCUUCGGUGACCACAGUUUAUGUUUAUUUCAUUUUUCAGGAAUAUCCAGCCACUGGUGCACAGCCAUUGCCACUUGUGCCCCCAGGGGAUCUUGUCAACUCCAGUAUGUCCCCCCAGCACUGUGUUAUCUGGCAUAAUAAAUGUAGUUGGGCUGUAGUUGUAGUGACUCCUCCCAAAACAACCCAGGAGUUUAAUACUGUUUGGCCACCGGUUACAGACAUUGCUGCCCCUUCCGCUGCGGCUUUAAAAGCCUAUCUAAUCGGCUGGGUGUGAUGGUGGCUCAGACCUAUAAUCCCAGCACUUUGGGAGUCCAAGGUGGGUGGAUCACCUGAGGUCAGGAGUUUGAGACCGGCCUGGCCAACAUGGUGAAACCCCAUCUCUACUAAAAAUACAGCAAAUUAGCUGGGCGUGGUGGCGCAUGACUGUAAUCCCAGCUACUCGGGAGGCUGAGGUAGGAGAAUUGCUUGGGUGGCAGAGUAAGACUCCGUCCCAAAAAAAAAAGUUAUCUAAUCAGGGACGUCACCUUUCCCUGCCAGUCAUUUUGUUACCAAUGAAAGAAAACAUAUUCAAAUCAAUUUUUAGUUCAGAAAAUGUUUCUUUCAUUGUAUCUUUGAAUUUUAUUGUUCUGCAUUUUUUACUUCAAAAACACCUACUAUAUGCAUUUUUUCUCUCGUUUCCUUUUUUUUCCAAGAAAUGUUUUUGUCCUUUUGAUUUUUUCACUGACCAUUACCAUUAUUUAUAUACCAUGUACCUGGAGAGUUUCCAAUGUUUCUCUUUGGUCUGAGAUACUUGCUAUGAUUUUCACUUUUUAAAUGCUCUUUUGAGAUUUGUUUUGUGGCCUAAAAUGUGGUCUAUCCUGGAGAAUGUUCUGUGAGCUGAUGAGAAGAAUGCACGUUCUGCAGUUGGUGGGUGAAAUGUUCUGUAAUUACCUGUGAGGUCCCUUUGACUUCUCUUGGAGUCAGUCUGGUCUGUUACUUUUCUGCCUAGAGGGUGUGUCUGUUGCUGAAAGUGGGUGUUGGAGUCCCCAGCUAUUAUUGUCUGUCUCUGUCUGUUGCUCGAAUAACUCUUACUUUAAUAACUGGGGCUCCUGUGUCAGGUGUGUUUACAUUGACAACUGUCCUACCUUCUUGCUGAAUUGAUCUCUUUAUCGUUUUAUAAUGACCUUUAUUUUCUAUUUUUGUGCUUUUUUGACUUAAAGCCUACUUUGUGUGACAAGCAUAGCUAUACAUACUCACUUUUGGUAACACUUUUCAUUUCUUAUCAUCUUCAUUGAAUCUCACUUCUUCACAUUUACCAAAAUGUCUACUUUUGAGCUGUGGCACCUCUUUGAAUCUUCAGAUCCACCACAUGCUGAUCAAGCCUUCCUUUUUGUCUGUACUCUGAGGAAUCCCAAACAGGCAUUUUUGCAAGAAAGUCUAGGAGGGAAACAUAAAUCUAUGUGUCAAAAAAAUGAACAUAGAAAAUAAUGUGUCCUGGUUAACAAAAGUUCUCAUUGUAAAGUGUUAGGCACAAGACUAUGGAAUUUCAUGUGCCAUAAAUAAAAUUGUCUUGAUUUGUCUAAAACUACAUUUUGUCUAAAACUACUUUUAAAAAUUACAUGUUACUCUAAUA
rnacentral:lncRNA from 1 species